rnacentral:lncRNA from 1 species
UGCUCCGAACAAAAAAGAUACUCCGAAUUAAAAAAAAAAAACUCCAAAUGCUCCGGUUGAAGAUGCGCCGGGAAGAUGCAACCAGAUCCAAAAGAUGCUCCAGAUCCGGUUGAAUAUGUUCGAUAUUGAAGAUGAUGUUUUUCAGAUGACGGUUCAAUGUUGAAGAUAAUCCAAAAGAUGUUGAAGAUGUUCCAGAUCUAAAAGAUCCCCCAGAUCAAUAAAGUGACGUGAAGCAUGGUGUGGUUCAUAUGACGGUUCGAUGUUUUAGAUCUGAAGCAUUUAGUUCUUGUUUUCUGGAUAUGUUAUAUGAAACAAUUUGAUUUAAGUUCUUAUGUAUUGGAUUCUUGUUAAUGAAGUUAUAUUUUUUAUGUACAUGUUAUAUUUUUGAUGUAACCAUUCU